GUUGACUGCCACUGGGAAGGAUCUCUUUCUGGAGAUCCCUCCUUGGUGAAGCUUUCCCCUGUGAACCUGGAAUCUUCUGAUACAGGAACAGCAUGGAACUGCUUAAAGGUGAAGUUUUCAGAAUAGCAGCAGAACAUAGCAUGAUGCCUCAAUUACUCUGCACUACCAGUGAAGCAGCAGCAAGGAGCGUGGAUCUUCUUUAGCAAUUCACGAGGACAUGCAGGCUUUAUGUAAUGACCACAUGGUGAUGUUACUUAGAGAUCCACAGAACAGUCCUCUCCUACCAGCCUUAUUAGUCUCCAGAUGUAAUCAGCAGUUCCUUUUCCACAGAAGCCUUAACAGAAAAGUUUCUAGAAAGCAUGACAGAAACCCACUUGAGAACAUUUUCUCCUGCAGAUGUUGUCAUCCCAAGGUGUAAUACAACAUCAAGAGGCAGAUGUUAGUUGAACCUUCCUGCCAAUAUUCUGUUACUGUUCAACAGAUGACAGCAGAGAGGCGGUCUGACAAAAUGACAUCUGACUUGAAAGUAUGUAUGAAGCAAAGGGGUGGAAUUGAAUUCCUCCACGUGGAAAAAAAUGACACCCACUGACAUUCAUUGAUGCUUGCUGAACGUUUAUGGAGACCAAACAGUGGAUGUGAGCAGCAGUAGUGACAGUGGGUUACCUCUGCUGAUGCUGAUUUUUACAAGUGCAGCAUGCAUGCUCUUGUUGGGGAUACUGCAGGCAAAAAUGUGAAGCUAAUGGUGGUGAAUGUGUUAAAAAAUGGUGUUUUGUAACUGAGAAUUUGUUCUACCAGUGUUACUGUGUUCAUUCUAUCUGUUGCAGUUUCUAUGGAAAUAAAUAGAGACACUACUUUCAGAGUGACCUACAUGUAUGUGGCCUAAGACAACUCCUUUCUUCAGGCAAGCUGAGAGGUUGGACAGCCGUGGUCUACAGUGUGUUCUCCUUAAGUAAAUUUCAUAGGCUCGUCUGAAAGCACUUUUUGCUUUUCCAUAAUGUAAGUCUGAAUUCUGCUGAAUGGAUGAUCACAAAUUAGGACCACCGUGUCGUUAUAUCACUCGCUCACAUCAUAAAUUAGCCACAGAUGGAAAACACUGAGGAGUAAUUUAUAAGCUUUCAACUCUAGGCCUCAUUGAGAUGUGCUGUAACUGUAUUGCAAUUAUCUGUUGGAGGAAAUAUGUAAGAACAUUCAUAACUGGGCCACUAGUGUGUUCCUGUCUGAGAACAAUGAAAAUGAUAAUUACUGUACAGGAGUUGUAUGCCAUAAUAGAGACUUCAUAUUGAGGGCUGAUAUCCAAAUGGAGGUUUUUGAUGCAGGCAUCUGCUAAUAUAAUAUUUACUACUUAACUUUGAUAUGGAAAUAAAUCAGCAAGUCUGAUUAAUCCCUAGACAAUUGUUAGGGCAAAAAGCAAAACAAAACAUUCCUCCCACCCCUUAAUGCCAACUAAAAUGAACAAUUAUACAAUGUAUUAUUACAACAAGAUUUCCACUUUAAAGUCAUUUACCAAUGGCCUUAAGUGCCAUAGCAAAAGGAUCAAAGUCUGCUACAGUAUGAUCAAAGAUCAAGAUGCACAUCCAUUCAAAUAAAUGCAUAUUCUUUAUCAAUUACCUAAUACGUAUCCCUAGUUCCAGACACACAUAGACUCAUAUUUAAAUAAAUCUUGGUGGCAAUUGAUUGAUCAUAAGUGUAUCCACAGUGCAGUGGCUUAAGCAUAUGCAAAAAUAUCUACAGGAAUGGGAAAUUAAUUUUCAGCAUAAAUCUAAUCAUAUGUUAUGCAAAAGUAUUAAGGAGAGUAGUUUGACUUUCCUAAAAUUUGUUUUUAAAAGGAUUCUAUGUCAUUUUGCACAAUUCUUAGUGUCUGCAUACACAAACACAUGUAUAUUACCAUUUUAAGGAGAUGUGUACACAAAUGCAAAAAAUAAAUACAUGCGUAUCUACAUACUGAUUACUUAACUACUCAGCAAUUAAAUGCAUGGUUGUGGCUUAGUGCAUUUUUCUAAUACAUGCAAAGCACACAAUAUAUAUUACUAUGUUGUAAUAUUAGUAGGAAUUAGGAAGAAAUAGCAGAAGAUUUUUAUCAUGAAAGAGUUGGCACUAAUAAAGAGAAAUAAAUAGCUGAAAAUUUGAAUUCUUCCCUAGCAACUAUGAUGUGUAAUUUAGUCCCACUCCCUUCACCAUGUUAAUGACUUUAAAUUCAGAAAUUCAUGUACAAAUAUUGCCACCAGGCAUUGGUCAGUAUUUCAGCUUUGUGUGCUAAUCUAAUCUCUCCCGCCCAUAUACAGAGUCAAACUUCAAGCUUUACUGCUUCUUCAUGUCUCUAUGGUA